rnacentral:rRNA from 1 species
GAUGAACUCUGGCGGCGUGCUUAACACGUGCAAGUCGAACGAAGCACUUUACCUGAUUUCCUUCGGGGAUGAUUGUUCUGUGACUGAGUGGCGGACGGGUGAGUAACGCGUGGAUAACCUGCCUCACACGGGGGGAUAACAGUUGGAAACGACUGCUAACACCGCAUAAGCGCACAGCACCGCAUGGUGCAGUGUGAAAAACUCCGGUGGUAUGAGAUGGACCCGCGUCUGAUUAGGUAGUUUGGUGGGGUAACGGCCUACCAAGCCGACGAUCAGUAGCCGACCUGAGAGGGUGACCGGCCACAUUGGGACUGAGACACGGCCCAAACUCCUACGGGAGGCAGCAGUGGGGAAUAUUGCACAAUGGGGGAAACCCUGAUGCAGCGACGCCGCGUGAGCGAUGAAGUAUUUCGGUAUGUAAAGCUCUAUCAGCAGGGAAGAAAAUGACGGUACCUGACUAAGAAGCACCGGCUAAAUACGUGCCAGCAGCCGCGGUAAUACGUAUGGUGCAAGCGUUAUCCGGAUUUACUGGGUGUAAAGAGAGCGUAGACGGAGUGGCAAGUCUGAUGUGAAAACCCGGGGCUCAACCCCGGGACUGCAUUGGAAACUGUCAAUCUAGAGUACCGGAGAGGUAAGCGGAAUUCCUAGUGUAGCGGUGAAAUGCGUAGAUAUUAGGAGGAACACCAGUGGCGAAGGCGGCUUACUGGACGGUAACUGACGUUGAGGCUCGAAAGCGUGGGGAGCAAACAGGAUUAGAUACCCUGGUAGUCCACGCCGUAAA